CGCUGAACUUAAGCAUAUCAAUAAGCGGAGGAAAAGAAACCAACAGGGAUUGCCCUAGUAACGGCGAGUGAAGCGGCAACAGCUCAAAUUUGAAAUCUGGCGCAAGCCCGAGUUGUAAUUUGUAGAGGAUGCUUCUAGGUAGCGACCGGUCUAAGUUCCUUGGAACAGGACGUCAUAGAGGGUGAGAAUCCCGUAUGUGACCGGCCCGCACCUUCUACGUAGCUCCUUCGACGAGUCGAGUUGUUUGGGAAUGCAGCUCUAAAUGGGAGGUAAAUUUCUUCUAAAGCUAAAUACCGGCCAGAGACCGAUAGCGCACAAGUAGAGUGAUCGAAAGAUGAAAAGCACUUUGGAAAGAGAGUUAAAAAGCACGUGAAAUUGUUGAAAGGGAAGCGCUCACAACCAGACUUCUGGGCGGUGUUCCGCCGGUCUUCUGACCGGUCUACUCACCGUCCCGAGGCCAACAUCAUCUGGGACCGCCGGAUAAGACCUCAGGAAUGUAGCUCCCCUCGGGGAGUGUUAUAGCCUGUGGUGAUGCGGCGCGUCUCGGGUGAGGUCCGCGCUUCGGCAAGGAUGUUGGCGUAAUGGUUGUCAGCGGCCCGUCUUGAAACACGGACCAAGGAGUCUAACAUCUAUGCGAGUGUUCGGGUGUCAAACCCCUACGCGUAAUGAAAGUGAACGGAGGUGGGAAGGGCAACCUGCACCAUCGACCGAUCCUGAUGUCCUCGGAUGGAUUUGAGUAAGAGCAUAGCUGUUGGGACCCGAAAGAUGGUGAACUAUGCCUGAAUAGGGUGAAGCCAGAGGAAACUCUGGUGGAGGCUCGCAGCGGUUCUGACGUGCAAAUCGAUCGUCAAAUUUGGGUAUAGGGGCGAAAGACUAAUCGAACCAU
rnacentral:rRNA from 1 species